CAAAGAGAUCUAUUCAUUUCCUAAGGCUUUUCCCUUCUCACAUUUUCUAUAUGCUGCUUCCUAUUCCCUCCUCCCAUGUAGUGUUCCUGAGUUUCCUGAUGCCAGUUUUCUUUCUCUUCACUGUACCUUGUUUCCUAUCAGACUGGUAGUAGAUGCUGUUAAAAUGCAAAAAGUGCAGCUUAUGGGGAGAAUGGAGACUGGGCUCUUCUUACCAGUCUCUGUGAGCUCACAGCUGAUACAGAGUUUUGCCUUGCCAACCAGAAGCCAUCCUUGUUGCUGAGCCAAAUAAAGGCAGAAUCCCCAGUCAAAACUGUCCAAAAGCAGGGACAGUGUAAAACCGAGAGCCAUGCAAAAAGGUAGGACCCAUCCCAAAGCAGGGAUGGUGCAAAAUGGGAAUUCUGUCACAGCAGGAACCUGUCCUGUCAGGAACUCUGUCAAGGUGGGAACUCACUCACCUUCUCCCUUGCUCUAUUUAUCCUUUUCUAGACCAAGUGUCCAUUUGCCAUUUUAUACUGGAUGCGAAAACCCAGCCACCCACCAGCCCGACUCCAGCACAGGCUCUCACAUGGGUCAGCACACCUCUGAAAGGCGCCUGCUGCUGGUCCCCUUCAAACCUGCAGGACUGGCGGGGAAAGCAGUUUUCAUGCUGCCUUCUCCCCAUUCAAACCAUUGAGGUGGGGGAAAAGAAAGGUGUUUGGAAUACUCUGGAACAAUUCCUUCAGUCAUUUGCUUCAUUUUGGUAAAUUUGUGAUGUUGUAGUCUCUACACAAAUUCAAAGACAACUUUGCUAACAUCAUUAGAGGCCUUUCUUAAAAAAAAACAAAAAAAAACCAAAAAAACAAACAAAACAAACAAAAACCCAACAAGUACAGCAUUCACUUGUACCAGGAAAUUCAGUUCACCACGAAAAUACCACUGCUUCUCACAUGUAGGUCAGACAGCUUUGAAAAGAGGCACUGUGAAGAUGCAUGAUUAUGAAAAUGAGGGUACAGGUAACUUGUAGAUGCACUCAACAGAGCAGUCCAUUGUCCACCAGCUUCCCUCUUAAAAGCCUGCUGCAGGCAGCUGCCCAAGCAGAGCUUGACUAGCAGCAUUCACAGCCUUCAUCAGUGAUGAGAUGUAGACUAUUUUUGUCAUACCUGUUUCCAAGGAAGUAGCUGUGUUCCUGAGAAGGCUGCAGGUUACAAAAUUUCUGAGUGAAUUUCUACUUUGUGCUAUUGCAGUAACUUUAAGAAAUCUUGCAGAUCUCCCUUAUUUUCCCCUUGUAAUUAGAUAAAAAAAACCCUUCAGUGUCAAGUAGCAAUUGGCCUUCUUUAUUGUGGAUGUCUCAGGGAUGCAGUUUUUCUUAUAACAGGAUGAUUUGGGUUAUCACUAUGCUUCUUUUCCAGUGCACAGAUGGUUGUAGAUGGCAGAGAAUAUACUGCAGCUGCCUGCACCUCACCUCAGGUGAUAAAAGAACAUUUCUAGGAAUGCAAUUGCAUGAAGUCUAAGGUACUACUUCCAUUAAGAUCUGCACUUCCUCUUUAAAAUGAUGCUGCUCCCAGCUUGAUGUCACAGUUGACUCAUCCCUGUACCAUGAACUGCCUUCACCCCUCUGUGCCAAAGCAAGUGGGAAAUUUCUCUGAUGGUUGGUUUUGUCACUGUCCCUUGGUUACCUGCACAACAGAGCCCCAAGGAAACUAGGUUCAGGUUGCAGAAACCCCUCACCAGCUAGUGCCAAGCUGAGUUGACAUUCUGACUCUUGUUCUGCAACCCCAGUUUUGUCACUGUCCCUUGGUUACCUGCACAGGGCAGUCCCAAGGCAGCUAGGUUCAGGUUGCAGAAGCCCCUUGUUAGCCAGUGUCAGAGCUGAGUUGACACUGAUUUGUAUUCUGCAGCCUCUUUAGAUGGGAGUCCAACGGAAUCGAUUGGUAGCUCAUGCUGCUACUCAGCAAAGUGGGAGUAUUGACUAAAUCUCCCUCAUGCACCCUAGUCCAGGUACUUGUGGCUGUAUCACAGCAAGACUCAUGGAUGUUGGUAUUUUCUGAGCAUAUCAUACCCUUUUUACCUUGCUGUUUUCACAUUUAUGCUCCCCCAAGCACUCUUAUGUUUACUUGUAACUCUAGCCCUCCACCUAUUCAAACGCCUUUGUGUAAUGGCUGGCUAGUAAACCAAACUAGCACCUCAGGCUUUUCGCAAGCUUUCUGAAUAUGCAGAUUUUCCAACCUAUCUUAAGUGAUACUUCAGUGAAGAAAAUAAUCUCUUUACCGAGGAUAUUGUUCUGUGUUUUGUGGCUCCUAAUGUAUUCCAGGGACCUCACUAAAGAGAAAAAAAAUCCUGGCACAAUGAAAAAAUAAAUCAGCUGCAGCUGCCAAUAGUUUCAGCUUUGAAUUGUUUGCAUUUACUUGGACUGGAGGUGGUUCAAUCAGACAUUCAUGUCUGCCUUGUGUCAACGGUUUGUGAAGCCUUGAAGCAACUCCAAUGAACUAUUCCUUCCCCAAAACAAAUUAAAGACAAGGGGCUACAGCAGCAGUAACCAGAGGGCUAAAAGCUGGAAAAUGUCACACCACAGUUGAAGCGAAACUGAUAUAAAUCCAUGAUGUGAUGACCUCUUAAAAAAAAAUCCAAGCAAAGUCAAUCUAUGUUUAAUACUCAACCUUUUCCACAUGAGUAAUGCAGAAAGGGUUUACAUAUGGAAGGAUACUUUGAGGGUUAAGAAAUGUUUGUGUAGCAAAUAGUUCUUGAUGUUAAAUAUUAGCAAACAGUUGUUCACUAACAAAUUAUUAUCAAACAGCUGCUCACAGUAAAAUUACAAACACGAUCUUUUAAGAGACACCUAACUGGAAAGCUGGAUCAGGAAGCAAAAUGGCUCAGUUAAGAAGUCUGUCACAGAAGAUAGUGACGAUUUUAAAAGGAAAAUAGGCUUCUAAGCAAGAUGAGCUUGUUUGUAGCCAUAGGAAGCUUUCUGCGCUUGCUGCAGUAUGAUGAGAAUGAAGUCACCAACAUAUAUAAGCUAUUGCUCCAUUGAGGUUUUGCAGUUCUCCAGUACUUUUCUUCCAGUCAUCCAACUGCCGAAGCCUUAUGCUAGCUAAAGCAUCUCUUAUUCUGGAUUGGUGAAACUGAUUGUGUUCUUUUCACCUGAUCUUACACAGUAACUCCCAGGCAUUCCCAGAACAUGCUCCAGUUCUUUGAAAACCUCUAUUACUCUAAUUAAUGCCUGCAGGACAAGAAUUGUGACAGUACAUGAGGGGUUUUUCUCUACAUCAUGCAAGUAAAUCCAUGUGCUCUAGCAAAUAAUCUGUUGCAGACAAAUUAGUAUAACAAACAUGUGGGCAGAGACAUGAGUUUUGCUGGAGGGCAGUGUUUAGCCAAAGCUUUAGUUGGCAGUUCUUCUGUGUGUUUACUAAACGUUAAGGACUGUGUGGUUUGACGUUUUGUUUUUAUUGUUUAGGAGUUUUGCUGCUUUUACUGUCAAGUGUUUGCUUUCUAUGCUGUAGAGUCCAAAGGUCCCAUCUUCCCCCUGUCUGCAGUGUAUAUGUGAGGAAUUGUAAGACUUUAAACUGCUGAAGUAUCAUCAAAUGCAGUGCUUCUCCAACUUUGUGGAUCUGCUUCCCUUUUGAGCCCUUCUAUCUUCGACUAUCAUCACCCUCUUCUUAGAGGGUAAGAAGUUCUCGAGGGAGGUUCUCCUCCCCCUUCUACUCUGCCAUGGUGAGGUCACAUCUGGAGUACUGUGUCCAGUUCUGGGCCACUCAGUUCAAGAAGGACAGAGAACUACUUGAGAGAGUCCAGCGCAGAGCCACAAGGAUGAUUAAGGGAGUGGAACAUCUUCCUUAUGUAGAAAAGCUAAGGCAGCUGUGGCUCUUUAGCUUGGAGAGGAGGAGACUAAGUGGUGAUCUCAUGAAUGUUUAUAAAUGCAUAAUGGGUGACUGCCGAGAGGAUGGAGUCAGGCUCUUCUCGUUGAUACCAAAUGACAGGACAAGGGGUGGUGGGUGGAAGUUGAGGCAUAGAAGUUCCAUGUAAAUGUGAAGGAAAAUGUCUUCAUUGUGAGGGUGACAGAACACUGAACAGGAUGCCCAGGGCAGUCAUGGUGUUUCCCUCUCUGUAGAUAUUCAAAACUCACCUGGAUAUGUUCCUGUGUGAUCUGGUAUAAGUGACCCUGCUUUGGCAGGGGGUUGAACUGGAUGAUUUUUCAAGGUCACUUCCAGCCCCUGACAUUCUGUGAUUCUGUGAAGUUCUUCCACAUAAGGAGGAAAGCAAAGUGGGUGUAAUUGCUCCAAGUAUUAAUGGUUUCCAGGGAACCCCUAACUACCUUUAAUUGCUGGCAGCAACUAGGCAAUUAGUUGUUCUCUGAGUAGUAUAAACACAUUAUAACCUCCUUUGAACUCUGCUUUGAGAACCAACUUGAGAUAGAAGUCCCACAAUUUGAGGAAAGACAGAUCUCCAUACAAGCAGAAUUACGGAAAAGCAUGUGCACAAGAAAUGCGGUCAUAAACUUCAAUCUGACAUUGUGAUGGAAAUCUUUUAUUGGUUUCUGGAGUUCUCAAAGUUGUUUUAGGCUUUGUAAAAAGCUAUACAGAUUGCACUAUAAAAAAAUACUGUUAUGCCAGACUGAGUCAUAAGGAGCACAGCUAAUAAUUAUACACCAAGACAAAAAGUUGUGUGAUGCUCAUUCUCUAGCUUGUUAAUUCUUGUUAGCUCAUAGUCUUUCCAUUCUUCAUCCAACAACACUCCAAAGGAACAUCUUUGUGUAGUGUAGGCACCUUCUCCACUAUGAAUUAAGCCCAGUAGUGAGAUUCUUGAUGUAGUAAAUACAUUGCUGUGUACAGUGUUUAUUUCUUUCUAUAUGAUGUUGCAGUCAUGGUCCUUCAGCUGUAGAAGAUGCUCUGUUGCACAUUCAGAAAUUUGCCAGCUUUAAUGACUGAGGAGUUAUGUCUGUGCAAGGUAUGCCAGUUUAUUCCUGAUUCACCAGACUAAGACAACCUUCAGUCUCCUUUUCUGGAAAUGCAAGUUUUUGUGUACCAUGGGUUUCUGGUCAGGGCUUGCUGCCAAGUUCCUGUAAGCUGCAGAGAUCGAAAAGUGCUCUUCCGCAGACCACCAUCUUUUGCAGGUGAUUGUCUGCAGCACUGAGAAAAAUGAGUAACACUUAUUGUGCUGAAUUCAACAAGUCAGGUCUGUCUGGGGCUCACCUCAGUGAUCUUUGUAGCAUCUAAAAUUUAAGUUCUAGCCCCUUUGCUCUUCUGCAGUGUUCCUGAGAUGAAGCCUAUCCUUUGUACUUUGUUUUUUUUAAUGGGCAAUCUCCUACCCUAACAUGAAAAACAUCUUUCUGCUAUACAGAAUACAGUUUUGUCACAAACAGUUGAGCAGUUAAUGAUUAAUGGAAUCUAAUGCAGAAAUCCUGGGAGACUCUGUUUUUUCCAAUUAGUAUUUUCUGUGUAAUUAGGCUCAGUCCACAACAGAAAAGUGCACUGCAGUUUUACAACACUUCAGUAUGCUUUUUCUCAACACCUUUGUACCCUUAGCAACUUGGCAAGCUUAAAAAAAAAUAAAAAGCAGACUUAGGGAAUAUUGUUUCAUGAGUGACUCAAACUCAGCAAAAGCUUCCUUGCUGUACUGUAUAAAUAGUCAAAAGAUGCAACAGCCAAGAACACUACUUGGAGUUGAGAUAUGCAAAAUAAAGGAAGGCUCUCCCAGCCUAAGAAAUUAGCCUCUCAGAUGCUGAUUUGGCACAUGUAUGGCAGCUAUGUGUAUUUCAUAUAAGAGUAUUUAAAGUAGAGUAUAAGAGAUUCUGUUAAACAUCUACAACUGAUAGUCUGCUAUAGUAAUAGUUAAGUGUGUCUUACAUCAUCUUCUAAAACUUACUGUGAAUAAGCAAGGAUAAAAUGUUCUGCUCUAAAAAACAAAUAUAAAAGCAGCUACUUUGUAAUUUGAAACAAAUAUUUAGAGGAACUAAAGUUCUUACUGUGAAUUGUCAUCUCUAAUGAUCUGAAUGACUGGACAAAACUUUUAUAACUGAAAUGACUGCUUAGUAGAAAAAAGAGAGUUAAGUCUAUGUGUUUGCUGCUGUGAUGCAGCUUCCUGAGGUGGUGAAAUGAUGAUCUGAAGGCAAUACUGUAACACAGCUAUUUAUAUUUUCUUCAUUCUGAUGAUGGCUUAUUCUGGCUUACCAGCAACUUCAUUUCUUGCUUAUCUAUACUGGAAUUUACACUUUCAGCCUCUUUUUCUUGCUCGGGCACACACGUGCAGCCCACUGGGAUAGUGACGUAAUCUUCUGUGUAGACGUAACGGCCCCCAGCACACGCUGAUGUGCGACGGAGGAUGACUGUUGGCAUGUACACAGGGGUGCUGCGGAAGUGAAAAUUCUCCUCGCCAAAGAUCCCCAUGAGACAGCCUUUGCACAGACAGUAUGCUUCAGGAAUGUAUUUAGGAUAUCUUGUGGGAUCAUACGAAAUUCUAUAGGGAAGCAAAUCAUAAACGCUCAUUAGUAUCACUAAAAAUAUACCCAGCUGGAAAGCAUUAUUAUAAUGAGAUUUGACUGUAAACAUUUAUAUAAUAUUUUUGUUUUCUUUGCCAGGAAAAAUAGCUUAGCUUCUGCUGCUUGGCUUCUUAUUUGUGAAAUGCAAAGAAAAAAAGCCAUGAACUUACACAACUGAUCACAUCCUACAGUGCACACUGAAGUAUGAGGUGACUGACUGCCUUUCUAAAAUGUGAGAUUCAGGGGUUUAGCACAGUAAGUUUUCUAUUUUUGACUGGAUGGGUAAACAGAGCAUUAAAAAGGACAACUGGGCACUUCCAAACUUUUGAUCUGCCUUGACUUCUUCAAAAAUUGUUACAAAUUCCUGUUAACAUUAUUACUGUUGAAGUUAUCUUAUGUUUUAAAAUUUUAAAUGGAAUUGAAUUGUACAAUUAUUUCUGCAGUAAUUGUUUUGCUCCCUAGUAGACUGAGGGUUAUAAAGGUGCCUUCCCAUUGAAAGCAGAACUCUGCAUUGCUUUCUUUAAUGCACCUCCCUUUUUCUUCUUUAAUGAGAGAAACUAAUAUUUGCAUGCUCACACAAAGUUCAAAGUGAAGGUUAUUUCUGCCCUCACCUGAUACAUUUUGAAGUAAAGCAUUGCCCCAAAA